UGGGGGUUCGUCUAAUGGUAGGACAGCAGACUCUGGAUUUGCUUAUGGAGGUUCGAAUCCUUCACCCUCAG
rnacentral:tRNA from 1 species